UACGGGGGGGGCAAGCGUUGUUCGGAAUUACUGGGCGUAAAGCGCGCGCAGGCGGCCCUUUAAGUCUACCCGUGAAAUGCCGGAGCUCAACUCCGUGCACGCCGGGGGAUACUGGGGGGCUGGAGACAGGUAGAGGCAAGCGGAAUUCCGGGUGUAGCGGUGGAAUGCGUAGAUAUCCGGAAGAACACCUGAGGCGAAGGCGGCUUGCUGGGCCUGAUCUGACGCUGAGGCGCGCAAGCGUGGGGAGCAAACAGG
rnacentral:rRNA from 1 species